UGUUAUCACUUUGGCAACACAUACAUUAAAUUGGAAUAAUACAGAGAGAGUUAGCACGGUCUCUGCGAAAGUAUGACACGCAAAUUCAUGAAGCAUUCCAUAUUUUU